UACGUGGGGUGCAAGCGUUGUCCGGAAUUAUUGGGCGUAAAGAGCUCGUAGGCGGUUUGUCGCGUCUGCUGUGAAAACUCGGGGCUUAACCCCGGGCCUGCAGUGGGUACGGGCAGACUAGAGUGCGGUAGGGGAGACUGGAAUUCCUGGUGUAGCGGUGAAAUGCGCAGAUAUCAGGAGGAACACCGGUGGCGAAGGCGGGUCUCUGGGCCGAUACUGACGCUGAGGAGCGAAAGCGUGGGGAGCGAACAGG
rnacentral:rRNA from 1 species